rnacentral:rRNA from 1 species
AGAGGGUGCAAGCGUUAAUCGGAAUUACUGGGCGUAAAGCGCGCGUAGGUGGUUUGUUAAGUUGGAUGUGAAAGUCCAUCGCUUAACGGUGGAUCCGCGCCGGGUACGGGCGGGCUUGAGUGCGGUAGGGGAGACUGGAAUUCCCGGUGUAACGGUGGAAUGUGUAGAUAUCGGGAAGAACACCAAUGGCGAAGGCAGGUCUCUGGGCCGUUACUGACGCUGAGGAGCGAAAGCGUGGGGAGCGAACAGGAUUAGAUACCCUGGUAGUCCACGCCGUAAACGGUGGAUGCUGGAUGUGGGGCCCGUUCCACGGGUUCCGUGUCGGAGCUAACGCGUUAAGCAUCCCGCCUGGGGAGU